rnacentral:tRNA from 1 species
GGAGACAUACUCAAGAGGCUGAAGAGGCGCCCCUGCUAAGGGUGUAGGUCGGGAAUACUGGCGCGAGGGUUCAAAUCCCUCUGUCUCCGCCA